rnacentral:rRNA from 1 species
GACGAACGCUGGCGGCGUGCUUAACACAUGCAAGUCGAACGGAUCAAGGGAGCUUGCUUCCUUGGUUAGUGGCGAACGGGUGAGUAACACGUGAGCAAUCUGCCCCUGACUCUGGGAUAACUGGCGGGAAACUGUAGCUAAUACCGGAUACGACGCGCGAAGGCAUCUUCUGCGUGUAGGAAAGUAAUUUUGGUCGAGGGAUGAGCUCGCGGCCUAUCAGCUUGUUGGUGAGGUAACGGCGUCACCAAGGCGACGACGGGUAGCCGGCCUGAGAGGGUGACCGGCCACAC